CCCUCACCCAAUCCACUCGCCCACACGCCCAUCCCUCCCUGCCUCCUCGAUCUCUCUCCCUCAUCAGCCGCAAUGGCACGAAGCAACAAACCCUAGCCCCCUUUCCCACGGCUGUUGCGCCCCGACCCCUUCCUCCACCCCCCUCCCCGAUCCCCAUGGUCGCCGUCCCUCUCACUCCUCCUGCCUCAUCAAGACAGCCACCACGUCCAUCCCUCCUUAGGCGCCAUGGCGGCGGUCGGGCCGGAGCGGGGGCGGAAAGCCGUGGGGAGUCCGCCUGCAGGAGGAAGCAGUAUAGGGGCUGAUGGAGCGACGGAUGCGAUCCACCGCCUCCUAGGUGCUCAUCCGCCCUGGCUCGUGAGGAAGCAGCGGGACGAGGGAUGAGCUCAACUGGGCGCAUCGGAGAAAGAGGGAAGGAGCGGAUACCAGCCAGGAGGCUGCUCGGCUCAGUCCAGCCAUGGAGCUGGCGCUGCGGACUCCCUGCUAGCCUCCUUCAUCUUCAUGUGGAUUUAGGUGGCACACUAGAUGUUGCACCACCGAUGGCAGCAGCCAGAUUUGGCGUUCGUGAUGCAAUGGCUUGGUGUUGCCCUUGCUUGAUGGUGCUGGAUAUGUCAAUAAACUGAUCGUGGAUUAUCUCCAACUGUGUACUACCUCUCUCGCUCUCAAUGGUGACGCAGAUCUCCUUUUGAUCGAUAUGCCAUUGUUUCGUGCAGCGGGUUGAGGUUCGGGUGUGCUUGUGCAGAUAGUCGAUGGGGCUCUUGGCCUUCUAGCUAUAGACUGAUUGACAAGCAUGGUUCAUUGUUAUUUCCUUCCUUAAUAGGUAAUGGCACUACACCUAUCUCAGUUCUCUAUAGACAUCACUCCUAUUUCUAGCCAUCAGUUCUGUGUCUAGCCAUCAGUUUUUGUUUCAGUAGCAAAUAACCAAAAUGAAUGGAUAUUAUUUGCUGUAGUAUUGUAAGGGAAGCAGGUUCUCCAAAUAAAUGUGGAAGAUUGCAGCAUGAAGGGUAUCACUUCACCGGAUUUUUCUACUUCUUGGUGGGCAGCUAAAUUAGUUUCCUUGGUCCGUUUCUCAACUUAUCAUAGAAGAACUCUUUAUCUCUGUAAUUUUCUCUUUAUUAGCGCUGAAGGCAUAGAUCAAGUGCUACAUGGCUAUGCUCUUAGGAGCUUAGAGCAUCAGUGGUUGGCCUCCUUUCUAUUUGUUAUUUUUUCUAGGAUUUGCGUGUGUUAAUCGGAUGAAUAUAUGGAAGGAUACAGAGAGGCCAGAGGUAUAUAUUCUUCUACCAAUAAAAAUCAUUCCAUUCUUUUCUUCACUCGAUUAAAAUAAUUUGGUCGAUCGUAGGAAGUUCCACUAUUUAUGUGUACUGCUCUCAAUAAAACAUAGGCUAGAAAAGUUCCCUUCAGUAUGCAUUCUCAUGUUAUUAAAACAUUUUUGUGGUGCAGUCUGUUAGGCAAACUCUGUUUUCCAGUCAACAGUUUUUACCUGCUUUUCAAUGCAUGUAAUACUGCUGACUUCUCUUCAAGUCCUAGCUGGUUUGUGUGCAUUUUAUGGUUCAGUGUAUCAUUGCAAGAGUUUAUGGUUCAGUGUAUCACUGCAUGUUCCUAACACCGACAAAUUUUAAUGUUUUUUGUAUUUUUUUCGAUGCAAGCCUAUUCUUCGACUAUAAGACAAUAGAGAUUUCCUAUUAAGUCUAAUCUUUUUUGGGUGCAUUACAGAGUUUGCUAUCAAAUUCUAAAGCAGCAAGAAGAUAGCCAGCCUAAAUGAAUCAAGACAUGAACAAGUGUCGAGAAGUUACGGAUGCAGAAGUGCAACUGGUAUCGCCUCUAUUUUUUUUGUCUCAAAUCAACCGCAGAAAAAACUACUGGAUAAUCAUCUUGCCACUUUAUAAUUGGCUUACUGCUAUGAUCCUGGUGUUAUUUGCUAUGAGAAAAACGAGAGGUUCAAUGUGCGCCUCAUAUCAUCACAUCAAAUGGAAUAAUUGGAUAGGCUUAUGUAUCAUCAUAUCUGCACACAUAAUCUCUUUUAUGAUUGUUUACCUCUUCAGUCUACUAUUCUUAGAUGAUGAACUUCUGCUCUUUUAUGCCAAGUAGUUAAAUUUGUGUGCAUGUUCUCAUGGAUCAUACUUAGAUUUUGCAACUGUGGCCCAUAGGGCCAUGCUAAUUAGUCCUGGCCAUGAUCAGGAGUAAAUUUAUACAAAUUUUAAUUUGCAUGGUAUUUUGUCCAGCACCAAAGGCACCAAUGGUGCUAUUGUUAUGCUUAUUUUUCACUUGAUAAGAAAAUAUACGUACAAAAUCUGCUUGAAGUUGUAACUGUAACUGUACGUCUGCAUUGGAUAAUUUCUUGGACUCGUGUACAGUAGCUUGCAGGAUCUUUUCAGAAGCAGCCCAUAGGAAGUAUAAUCAGGCAUCUUCAGCUGCAAAAGUUUCAUUCAGCAGGCUUUUCCAUGUUGCUAUAUCUGGAUGGUCCGAGUUUCAAAAGAUUUUCUUAGAGACGUUAGGUAAAUUUGGCUAUAAUGGCCCUCCACAUAGUAGGAAUGAUCCUGCAAAAUUCCUAUGUAUGCUUGCCUAUGUCUCAGUUUCAGUUGAAUUUAUACAUACCGUCUAGCUCAUUUUGGUGCCUCUUUUUUGGAAUUCCUAGCAUUUUCUGACCUAUGUGGGUUUUCUCUUAUAAUCUGAGGAGUCCUUAAAAUUGUCGAUAAUAUUAUAAAAUACUAAUUGAUAAUAGAAGAGUUCAAGGGUUUACCACGUUCUGCAAUUAUCUUUCAUUAGGAACCAAGACGGCAAUCCUCCAAACUUUUCAGCAAUUUCCUAUGUUUUUUCGCAUGUAGGCAUAAUAAAAAGUUUAUAGAAACACUAUUUAAUUUUUAAGGCCUCCUUAACUAGUUUACACAUGUUGUUAGGUAUAUGUAUAUUUUUAGGACCAUAAAUAUGUGUUUUUUUGAACUGAAAUAUGUGUUUCUAAACACACACCAAAGUAUAUUUUUUUACGGCAUAAGGAUCUAAAUUCUUGGCGUCGGUAUUUGCUCAAACAGGAGAUUACUAAAAAAAAUACAUGUAUUUUCAAGGUGGCAUAAUUUUGAAUGGGGCUUUGUGCUACCAAACUAAAAUGUGUACAUUCAUCUCAUUACUCUCUCUGUUCGGUAAUAUAAGUCUUUUUUAGAAAUUUCAAUAUGGAUUGCAUACGGAUGUAUAUAGACAUAGUUUAGAGUGUAGAUUCACUUAUUUUGCUCCGUAUGUAGUUCAUAGUGGAAUCUCUUAAAAGACUUAUAUUUAGAAAUGAAGGGUUUAGACAACAAGCCACUGUUUUUUCUCUUGUUAAAGGAAAUUAAAUUUGCUUCAUAUGUGCUUGCCCACAACUAAUAAACCAAUUAAAUCAUGGAUUUUGUUUUGAAUACAACUCUGUGCUACCAAACUAAUAUGUGUGUCUACAUCUCAUUGUAGACAACAGACC
rnacentral:rRNA from 1 species